rnacentral:rRNA from 1 species
UACAGAGGGUGCAAGCGUUAAUCGGAAUUACUGGGCGUAAAGCGCACGUAGACGGUUUUUUAAGUCAGAUGUGAAAGCCCCGGGCUCAACCUGGGAAUUGCAUUUGAAACUGGGAAACUAGAGUGUGUGAGAGGGGGGUAGAAUUCCAAGUGUAGCGGUGAAAUGCGUAGAGAUGUGGAGGAAUACCAGUGGCGAAGGCGGCCCCCUGGCACAACACUGACGCUCAGGUGCGAAAGCGUGGGGAGCAAACAGG